UAGGGAAUCUUCGGCAAGUGGGGGCAACCCUGACCGAGCAACGCCGCGUGAGUGAAGAAGGGUUUCGGCUCGUAAAGCUCUGUUGUUAAAGAAGAACACGUAUGAGAGUAACUGUUCAUACGUUGACGGUAUUUAACCAGAAAGUCACGGCUAACUACGUGCCAG
rnacentral:rRNA from 1 species